rnacentral:lncRNA from 1 species
UCAGCCUCAUCUUUCCGGCCCUUCCUGCAACAUGUAGCUCUGUUAUUCCCUCCCUCUUCCUUGAAACACUGUUCUUCCCUUGGCUCCUGUGACACCACACGCCCCUGUUUUUCUAAAACCCACAUCUGGUUGGUCAGUUAAAGGCCUUCUGCGGCUCUAAACUCUGUAUGGUUGUUCCACCCCUGCCCGCUUGGCCAGGGCCGCUGCUCCAUGUGGCAUCCUGUGCUCCCUGCAGUGGGUGACUGUGCCUUUCUGCUGUUAGGGUUGCCAGAUUCCAUAAGUGGGACAAACUGAAACUCACUGUUUAUCUGAAAUUUAUUUUCUGUUUUAUUUAUUUAUUUUUUAGACAGGGUCUCGCUCUGUAGCACUCUGCUGGAGUGCAGUGCAGUGGCACGAUCUCGACUCACUGCAACCUCUGCCUCCUGGGUUUAAGUGAUUCUCCUGCCUCAGCCUCCCAAGUAGGUAGGAUUACAGCUGCGCACCACCACGCCCGACUACCAUUUAUCUGAAAUUUAAAUUUAACUGGCCAGGCACAGUGGCUCACGCCUGUAAUCCCAGCACUUUGGGAGGCUGAGGCACGUGGAUCACAUGAGGUCAAGAGUUUAAGACCAGCCUGGCCAACAUGGUGAAACCCUGUCUCUACUAAAAAUACAAAAAUUAGCCGGGCGUGGUGGUGGGCAUCUAUAAUCCCAGCUACUCAGGAGGAUGAGGCAGGAGAAUCGCUUGAACCUGGGAGGAAAAAAAAAAUAAAAUAAUAAAAUAAAAUAAUUUGAGAGAGAGUCUUGUUCUGUCUCCAGGCUGGAGUGCAGUGGCACCAUCCUGGCCCACUGCAACCUCCCCCUGCCAAGUUCAAGCUAUUCUCCUGCCUCAGCCUCCCGAGUAGCUGGGAUUACAGGCGUGCACCACCACACCUGGCUAAUUUUUGUAUUUUUAGUAGAGACAAGGUUUCACCAUGUUGGUCAGGCUGGUCUCAAACUCCUGAUCUUAAGUGAUGCCCUCGCCUUGGCCUCCCAAAGUGCUGGGAUUACAGGCAUGAGCCACCAUGCCCAGCCGUCUUGUAUUUUUAUGUGCUAAAUUUGGCACCAGCUUGGUGCCUGGUGUAAAGCACACACUCAGUAAAUGUUAGCUGAAGGAAUAUGGGCAGUGAUGGCGGCAGGCACAGGUGCUGUAGGGCACAAAAGAAGCAAGGUCCCUAGAGGAGGUAACACCUGAGCCCUGCAGAUGGAACUAUUAGGUCAUACACCAACAGCCCCUCCAUGGAGAUAUCUCCCACAGUGGGUUGAAUAGAAUCCCCCCAGAUUAUAUGUUCAAGUCCUAACCAUCCCCCUACCCUGUAUCUGUGAAUGUGACCUUAAUUGGAAAUAGAGUCUUGCAGAUGUAAUUAAGUUAAAGCUCUUGGGAUGAGAUCAUCCUGGAUUUAGGGUGGGCCCUAAAUCCAAUGACUGGUGUCCUUAGAAGAGAAAGCAGAGGGAGAUUUGAGAUACAGCAGGAAGACAGCCAUGUGAAGCCGGAGCCGGAGACUGGAACGAGGCAACUAGGAGUCAAGGACUGCCAAGGAGAGAGGCACGCAGUGGGUUUUCCCUCAGAGCCUAGAAAAGGAACCAGCUCUGCCAACACCUUGAUUUUGAGCUUCUGGGAGAACUGGGACAAAACGAAUUGCUGUUGUUUUAAGCCAUCUGGUUUGUGAUACUUCAUUAGGGCAGCCCGGGAAAACUAACACACUCCCAAGGCUCCAUGUUUCCCAAAAUCUCUGUUUCUUCUUUCAGGACCUCCACCCCCAGAACCCUCUCUAGUACCAGACCUCUUAUCCGGCCUGUGUAGCCAGCCACCAACAUGGCCCCAGUAAUCUUUUGUUGUAGUAGUUGUUAUUUUUUUAAGACAGAAUCUCGCCCUGUUGCCCAGGCUGGAGUGCAAUGGGGCGAUCUCGGCUCAUUGCAACUUCCGCCUCCUGGAUUCAAGUGAUUCUCCUGCCUCAGCCUCUCAAGUAGCUGGGAUUACAGGCAUGUGCCACCAUGCCCAGCUAAUUUUUUUUGUAUUUGUAGUAGAGACGGGGUUUCACCAUGUUGGCUAGGCUGAUUUCGAAUGCCUGAUCUGAGGUGAUCCACCCACCUCAGCCUCCCAAAGUACUGGGAUUACAAGCAUGAGCCACCGCACCCGGCCUCUGUUUUUUUUUUUUUUUUUUUUUUGAGACAGAGUCUUGCUCUGUCGCCAGGCUGGAGUGCAGUGGUGCCAUCUCGGCUCAAUGCAACCUCCACCUCCUGGGUUCAGACAAUUCUUCUGCCUCAGUCUCCCAAGUAGCUGGGACUACAGGCGCCCGCCACCAUGCCCGGCUAUUUUUUGUAUUUUUAGUAGAGGCGGAGUUUCACCAUGUUGGCCAGGCUGGCUUCGAACUCCUGACCUCAUGAUCCGCCCACCUUGGCCUCCCAAAGUGCUGGGAUUACAGGUGUGAGCCACCGCGCCCGGCGCCUCUGUUCUUUAUAACCCAGUCUCAGAUGUUCUGUUACAGCAGCACAAUGGACUAAGACAACGGCAGAACCCCGCCUUUGCUCGGGUGAUGGGUAGGGGUCAUGGCAGGUGUGCUGGAGUACAAGCACCAUGGGUCUAAUCCAAGCCUAGGAAUCCUGUUCUCCUUUGAGGGAUUGGUUUAAGGGACUUGGGGCUGUUCUGGGAUUCCUGGGAAGGGUUGUUCUUCCUGAUAGAUAACAAGACAAAUGCCAAGGAGAGAGUCCGUGCUCCCUGCCCCUCCUCUCCCACUCUGGAAAUUGUCCUCAGAGGAUGGGAUGCUUGGAGCAGCUGCAGCCAUCUAGUGAUCAUGAGGAGAAAUCUGAUACGUGGAAGGGACAAUGCUGAGAAAGGAGAAGCACCUGAGACCUCGAUGACCACUGAGCCUCUGUCAGUGGUGACACUGACCUCCUGACUCCUUAGGAAAGCUUGGGACUGGCUCUCAGCUCUGCCACCAUCAAGCUGUGUGAUCUUAGGCAGGUGACCUGAAGCCUCAGCCUUUCGUCUGGAAAAUAGGGCUGCUAUGGGGGAAAAAUGGGAUAACCCAGGUAAGGCAUUUUGCACAUGGUGGUUGGUAUAUAUAUGCAUUCAUUUCAUUUGUUUAUUCCUCCACUAAUUUAUUUAACAAUGGUAUUUAAACACCUACUAUAUACUUGCACUAAUAGGGUUUGGGAAUGUAGUUGUGAAAAACUAACUAAUAAGCACUUGAAAUUGGCUCUUACUUCUACUAUUAUUACAAGACUUUGCCUUCAAGGAGCAGGUCCUGAUAUGUUGGUAAAAUCAAGAUAGGUUUGGCAGAAGUGAUCUUCUUGGACCUACCAGUGUGGGUAUCUGUAGUGAGAGGGGCUGGGGGCAGUUAGGGAGGGGAGGAGCAGUUAGGAAGGGGGCUGGGGGCAGUUAGGGAGCUGGGGGCUGUUAGGGAGCUGGGAGCAGUUAGGAAGGGCUUUCCUGGGGAAGUGGUGCUUGGGACACCUGAGGCUGAUUCUCCCAGCAACCAUUAGUUAAGCACCCACUGUGUAUCAGCCACUGUGAAACUGUGUAAGUUGCUGGGGUAAGACAGGUGCCCCACCCUCUGGGCUCACAGCCUCCAGUAGGUGAUAAAAAGGUAUGUGGGGUCAGGUGCAGUGGCUCAUACCUGUAAUCCCAGAACUUUGGGAGGCUGAGGCGGGCAGAUCACUUGAGCCCAGGAGUUCAAUACUAGGCUGGGCAGCAUAGCAAGACCCCGUCUCUAUAAAAAAUAAAAAGUUAAUUGGGUGUGGUGGCACACACCUGUAGUCCCAGCUACCCAGGAGGCUGAGGUGAGAGGAAUGCUUGAGCCGGGGAGAUUGAGGCUGAGUAAGCUGUGAUCUUGCCACUGCACUCCAGCCUGGGUGACUCAAUGAGACCCUGCCUCAAAAAAACACAAAAAAACAAAAAACAAAAGCCAGUAGGUGGUUCCAUUAGAUCGUGAUAAGUGAUGAGAUAGGGAGGGGGCAGAUGUCCUGCAGAAGGUGAUAUCUGAGCUUCAUUUCGAAAGGUAAGUAAGAAUUAGACAGCAAGGGGGCCAGGCACAGUGGUUCAUGCCUGUAAUCCCAG